GUUUCAUGUGCAUUCUUUUUUUUUUUUUUUUCCCCUUAGCUUGCAGAAGUUCCUGGGCCAGGGAUUGAAAACCAAACAGCUGUAACCAGAGCCAAAAGCCAAAGCUGUGACAAUGCCAGAUACUUAACCCACUGAGCCACCAGGGAACUCCUUCAUGUACAUGCCUUUUUUUUUUUUUUUUUUGGCAUAUCAAAGUUCCCAGGCCACACCUACAGCAGCACUGGAUGCCACACCUACAGCAGCACUGGAUCUCAUAACCAACAGGCCAGAGAUCAAACUCUUACCUCUGCAGUGACCUGGUGCAUUUGGAUUCUUAAUGCACUGUGCCACGGUGAGAAUUCCCAUGUGCAUUCUUAAAUAACCUUCACAUAACCCAAUAAAGUAGCUACUUUUAUACUUAUUUUUUUUAGUUGGAGAAACUGAUGCACCAAAUGUAUUUUAAAAACAGGGGAUCUAUUUUCAAAGUGUUGAUUAUCUCAUAAGGAACUUGGGAUCAUGAUACACAUAGUGUACAAGAUAAUUUUUGGGUAGGACGCCUCAACCAAAUUGGAGGAAUUUUGAUAAAGGAGUAAAUACCAGUUCCUUUUGCUCAUUUUUUUCCUUGAAAAUAUAAUUUUGGGGAUAGUAUUUCUUCUCUAUUCUUUGUGUUUCUGAAGAGCCCAGACAUAUGUCAAAGUUUCUAAGUGCCAGUUCUCUUUCUGUAGGAAAAUGUCAUGCAGUUUAGAAGGACUGCCAUCUUUACAUCUUAGCCACACAGAUUUCCUGGAAAGCCAGAGUGACCCUGCCAUUUCGGCUGGACAGUUUCUUUAAACUCUACACAGAUCAUCUUCUAAAAUGAAAUGGACAUAAAAAUGGUCUCUUAAGAAACUUUUGGAGAGUGUAAAUUUUUAGAAAAUAACUAAAUAGACUUUAUUAAUUGCGUUUGAUGCUUCAUUACAUUGAGAAUACUUUCCCAAUACCUAUCUCAUUAAUUAUUUACACUCCUUACCCGUUAAUCUGCUUUAAAAAAGAACCUUGAUUUUCCUUCCCAUUAUCCUUUACUAAUAAUAUCAAUUAUCUUCUAUAGGCAAUAAAUGUCUUGAUUUCACCAUUUAUAAAAUGCUGUCUGAAUACUUCUGGGAGUGGGAGGAGGAGUUAGUGAGCUUAAUUAACUAAUAAAGAAUUGAAAAGCACUUUGCCACAAAAAGUGUUUGGGACAUUCUAAGAAGCUUGGUCUCGCUUCUGUACAGAGUUGAACUGCAGUGAUGCGGUUUCUGCCUAUGGGCUGUAUCUUCUGGAAGGCAAUGGACAUUACACUCCAAAAUGAUUCUGUUAUAAUUUUGCUUUGAUAGAGUAUUGAUUGUGUUACCAAUAUGUGGCACAUCCCAGCAAAAACACCCAGUUCUGUUUGGCCAUGAAUUUGUUUUAUGGGACAUUUUGAGUUUUUCAUCAGAUAAACACACAGUCAGCAUAGGCUGAUUACGACAAAUCCGUUGGUGUAACAUUCUGCAGGUUUCUUUUGUCCUUUCUUAUUUGAGAAGGAAAAAAAAAAUUACCACCAUUUUCCACCCUGCAGUGUGUUUACACCAAGCCAGAUAAACUGCUUAGGUCUUUACAGUCAAUGUGACAAAUCAUUCAUCUUGCUUUUUAUUUCAUAUUUCUGAGUCCUUGCAAUGCUCAAGGGAUUAUUACUUUCAGUGACAAAGAAUCUUUUAUAUUGGGAAAGACUGCCAUAGAACAAUGACUAGCAUUUGAGCCAAGGUUUAAAAAAAAUUUUGUAAACUGUAGUUCAGCGUACAGCCUAUGGGCCAAAUUUGUUCCACCACCUGCUUUUGUACAACUCAUUUUGUACAUGAUUUUUUACAUUUUUAUGUAGCUGGAAAGGAAUCAAGAAAAAAUAAUAUUUUGUGAAAUAAAAAUCAUAUAACAUUCAAAUUUCAGUGUUCAUAAAGUUUUAUUAGGAGUUCCUGUCGUGGCUUGUGGUUCACGAACCCGACUAGCAUCCAUGAGGACACAGGUUCGAUCCUUGGGCUUGCUCAGUGAGUUAAGGAUCUGGAAUUGCCAUGACUUGUGGUGCAGAUUGCAGACACGGCUCAGAUUCUGCAUUGCUAUGGCUGUGGUGUAGGCCAGUGGCCACAGCUCCGACUGGACCCCUAGCCUGGGAACCUCCGUAUGCCACGGCUGUGCCCCUAGAAAGACAAAAAGACAAAAAAUAAAGUUUUAUUAGACCACUCCAUGUCCAUUCAUUUAUGUGUUAUCUAUUGGUUCUUCCACACUAUAAUGGCACAUGGCAGGGACCAUAGUACCUGCAAAGCCUAAAAUAUUAACUGACUCUACUUUAUAGGAGAGAUUUGCCGACCCCUGAUGUAGACUAUCAUUAGAGUUCUAUAUAUGGAUGGAUCAUAAGGUUGCAGUAAGUAAAAUGAUCUGUUGCUGGACAAAAAAUAGUUCAUCAUUUGUUUUGCUAUAGAAAAUAACUAUGGUAUAGCGUUCAUAUGAAAUUACUUUGGAAAAAUGAUUAUCAGGUAAAAAAAAAACCUUUUAAGGUGCUAAUUUAUACUAUAUCCUCUUGUGUCAUAUUUGAUCCAUUUUUCUGCUUUUGCUUAUGUUUAAUUUCUCUAUGCCAGUGCUUUGCUCAUUAUUUCAUUAUUUUAUAGGCUACCUACAAUUCUAGUCUAUCUCCUCCAUGCUAAAUACCCAGAGUAACAUAAAGUAGAAUAACAAAGAACUCAGCCCUUGCCAAGUUCACAGUCUUUGGGAGAAAAAUAUCCAUUUGAACAAGUACUUACAAUGCAUUGUGAUAAGUGUUGCCAUAGUUUUAUGUGCAAAUCCUAUGGCGUCCCAUUAGGGAGAAUGAUUCAUGAUGGGAUCACGGGACUCAGCUUCUCAAGAGGAAAAGGUAUUUGAGUAGGGUCUGAAGGAUGAAUAGAAAUGCUCCAUGUUUAUGUGUAGAUAAUGUCUCUUUAGGAGCAGAAGCCAAGGUCCACUGGACAGAGAUAUAAAGAAAAAAAGGUGUGUUUUGGCAACACCAGGUAUAUUAACAGCCUGGGAUAUAAGGUGCAUCAAGAGGAGGGUUAGAAGUGAGUUUAGAGAAGAUUGUGAAAAAUUGUCCACGAGACCAGGGAUUCUAUAUUGUGUCCUUCAGGUGAUUAAGAGCCCACAGAUUCUGAGAGGGGCAAGGCAUGGUUAUCUGUGUACUUUAGGAAAAUAUUCCGACAGCAAUGUAGAAGAUGGACUGGAGGAGAAUGACCCUAGAAAGGGAGACUAGUUGUGAAGCUGCAGCUGUGUUUCCAUUGAGAGCAAGGAUCAUUGUGAACCAAGGCCGUCAGGAGGAAGCCAACGAAAAGCAAUAGAUUGUAUCACUUCUUGUUUUUGCGUUAGAAUAAGUUGUCUUGCCAAUGGUUCUGACCAUCUCAAAUUUUAAUCUUAGGGGGAAAGGGGAGGAGUUGGAGGCAGAGGAGAGUCCUGCUGGUAUUUUCAGUGUUCAGUAGAAUAGUUUUAAUUGCUGUCGUAUUUAGUUUUUGUUCCAAACCAACCUAUGUGAUUUUCUGUGGAUCCUUGUGCCUGUAAUCCCAUAACGGGGGUUGGUCCUACACCCAGUCUGGGGGAUCCCUUGCUCUGGCCCCCUGCAUUUAACUUUCCUGAGAAUGAUUCCUCUUAGAAGAGGGGCCUGAGAGGCCACCCUUGUAGCAGAUUUAUGCAUCUCCAAGAAAGACUACAUGGGCUUUGGUCCAGAGGUCCCCAGGUAUGUGAGGGUUCAGAGGUGAAGGAGGCUCUGUAACACACGGCAGUAGUCCUGCAGCCCUGUUCAGGAAUCCUCCCAUAGUGGUUGGGCAUGUGCUCUGUGAUUACUCUUGACACAUGUGAUUCAGCAGCUACUGCUUUGAAUUCCUGGGCUGCAGAGUCAUUUGGCUCCAUCUGGGCAUGUGCUGUUAUCAUUUCCAUUGUCCCCAGUGAGAAGGCAACUUGGUUACCCAAAGUUUCCUAUAAAUUGAAGUCUUCUUCUUGGCAAAACCAUGGGUAAUUUAGAGGGCUUGUCUAAUCUGGGAUGUGAGGAGUGCAUCUGGGGAUUAGAGCAGACUUGCAUUGCAGGGAGAGAUUUUUAUAGGAUUAUUCCCCCAUCUAAAAGAUGACACUGCUAGAGAGAUACAGGUGCGCAAAGGUUGCUUUUUCAGUAGAUGGACCGUUUGAGUGAUGGUCUGUAUCUCAAAUACUCACCUGUGACACUGAAUCUGAAGAGGACUGGGUUGAUGGCUUUUUUCUUCUCAGUGUCACCAAAGAAAACCACUGUUGACAUGCACUGGAGUGCAAGAGAUGACUUCUGUGAUGUGAUUGCUUUGCCCAGAUUUGAUACAAAAAGGAGAAGCAGCCUUAAAAACAGGAAAGUCAUAGACUUCAGAGUUGCAUAGGUGUAGUUUCAAAUAUCACCCACUUUCUGAGACUUCCGGCAAGUCACCCUUUUGAAGCCUUGUUUCCAUCACUUGUGCACCUUCACUAGGUUGUUUAGAGAAUCAAAAGAAAUUGCGUGUUGGUGCAUCCAAGCGUGUCUAUGUGCGUGCACAUGCGAAACACCUGGUAGAAGGCCUGGUGAGUAAUGGGCCCUCAACAAAUGUGUUAAUUUCUGGCCACCUUUGAGAGAAGUAGAUUGAUUGCAGCGAUGAUGAAAUUGAGCACCUGGAGAACAUGAUAUGGCAGCAUUCUUCAUCUCUGAGAAGUAAGCACUGUGGCUUAAUCAAAAUGUUCUGGAUUCAGAGGCAAAUGAUCUCAGCUUAGUUCAUUUGCCAUUCAAGAGGAGAAUUUAGACAAGUCUUUUACCUCUCUGAUUCUCAGGUCCUGUGUCUAUAUAACACGUACCUUCCAUGAUGAAAACAUAGAAUGCCAUUAUUAUAGAGAUGGACCUGAUUUUUGUGAGCCCAAACCUUCUCUAAUUUGGCAGGAGAACUUUAAGAAAAUGAACACAAAUUAUAAUUGCAAAAUUAGAUAUAGGGCUUUGGAAGGGUCUCAUGCAAAUGAGGGAGCCUCAUUUACUUCAUAGUAAAUCUGCCUCUGAGUUUUUCGAACAUAAGUGUAUUUGUAUAAUACAGCUAGUAUAAUAAAUAUUUAUUGGGUAUAUUGGCAAAAAAAACCAAUAUGAAUUUGUUAAUAUGAGUUAAGCCUGAGUUAGAAUGGACAUAGAUUGAAAAGUAAUGGAAGGGAGAGGGAAAUAACUCAUUGAAGGUUUUGAUUUCUUAAAAAAAAAAAACAAAAAAAAAA
rnacentral:lncRNA from 1 species